rnacentral:rRNA from 1 species
GAUGAACGCUGGCGGCGUGCUUAACACAUGCAAGUCGAACGGAAAGGCCGAAGCUUGCUUCGGUACUCGAGUGGCGAACGGGUGAGUAACACGUGGGUGAUCUGCCCUGUACUUCGGGAUAAGCUUGGGAAACUGGGUCUAAUACCGGAUAUGACGAUCUCUUGGAUGGGGUUGUGGAAAGCUUUUGCGGUAUGGGAUGAGCUCGCGGCCUAUCAGCGUGUUGGUGGGGUAAUGGCCUACCAAGGCGUCGACGGGUAGCCGGCCUGAGAGGGUGUACGGCCACAUUGGGACUGAGAUACGGCCCAGACUCCUACGGGAGGCAGCAGUGGGGAAUAUUGCACAAUGCGCGCAAGCCUGAUGCAGCGACGCCGCGUGGGGGAUGACGGCCUUCGGGUUGUAAACUCCUUUCGCAAUCGACGAAGCCUUUUGGUGACGGUAGGUGGAGAAGAAGCACCGGCUAACUACGUG